rnacentral:rRNA from 1 species
CCUACGGGAGGCAGCAGUGAGGAAUAUUGGUCAAUGGACGAGAGUCUGAACCAGCCAAGUAGCGUGAAGGAUGACUGCCCUAUGGGUUGUAAACUUCUUUUAUAUGGGAAUAAAACGUUCCACGUGUGGGAUUUUGUAUGUACCAUAUGAAUAAGGAUCGGCUAACUCCGUGCCAGCAGCCGCGGUAAUACGGAGGAUCCGAGCGUUAUCCGGAUUUAUUGGGUUUAAAGGGAGCGUAGGUGGAUUGUUAAGUCAGUUGUGAAAGUUUGCGGCUCAACCGUAAAAUUGCAGUUGAAACUGGCAGUCUUGAGUACAGUAGAGGUGGGCGGAAUUCGUUGUGUAGCGGUGAAAUGCUUAGAUAUCACGAAGAACUCCGAUUGCGAAGGCAGUUCACUGGACUGCAACUGACACUGAGGCUCGAAAGUGUGGGUAUCAAACAGGAUUAGAUACCCUUGUAGUC